rnacentral:sRNA from 1 species
GUAAAACUUCAGGAGAGCUUGUCCGUUGCUACAAGCUAUUUUUCAAAUGUCCCUACACAGUCCAGGCAGGAAAUUGAAGCACUCACAUCAGGAGCUCAGUGUCAGGCAGGCAAGGCUCCUGCAGGGGAGCCCCGCCCUGCUCAGGUGGCCUCAUCUCCCCUCCCAGCUGGUGGUGCUGCCCUAUCAGAUGCUGCUGCAUGCGGCCACUCGGCAGGCUGCGGGCAUCCGGCUGCAGGACCAGGUGGUGAUCAUCGACGAGGCGCACAACCUGAUCGACACCAUCACGGGCAUGCACAGCGUGGAGGUCAGCGGCUCCCAGCUCUGCCAGGCCAUUCCCAGCUGCUGCAAUACAUGGAGCGAUACGGGAAGCGUUUGAAGGCCAAGAACCUGAUGUACCUGAAGCAGAUCCUAUAUUUGCUGGAGAAAUUCGUGGCCGUGCUGGGGGGGAACAUUAAGCAAAAUCCCAAUACACAGAGCCUGUCACAGACAGGGACGGAGCUGAAGACCAUCAACGACUUUCUCUUCCAGAGCCAGAUCGACAACAUCAACCUGUUCAAGGUGCAGCGAUACUGUGAGAAGAGCAUGAUCAGCAGAAAGCUCUUUGGAUUCACUGAACGGUACGGAGCAGUGCUCUCAUCCCGGGAGCAGCCCAAACUGGCUGGGUUUCAGCAAUUCCUGCAGAGCCUGCAGCCCAGGACGACUGAAGCUCUUGCAGCCCCUGCAGACGAGAGUCAGGCCAGCGCCCCACGACCAGCUUCCCCACUGAUGCACAUCGAAGGCUUCCUGGCAGCUCUCACUGCGGCCAACCAGGACGGCAGGGUCAUCCUGAGCCGCCAA